UACGUAGGGGGCAAGCGUUGUCCGGAAUCAUUGGGCGUAAAGAGCGUGUAGGCGGCCAGAAAAGUCCGCUGUGAAAACUCGAGGCUCAACUUCGAGCUGUCGGUGGAAACUUUCUGGCUAGAGUCCGGAAGAGGAGAAUGGAAUUCCUGGUGUAGCGGUGAAAUGCGCAGAUAUCAGGAAGAACACCCGUGGCGAAGGCGGUUCUCUGGACAGUUCCUGACGCUGAGGCACGAAGGCCAGGGGAGCAAACGGG
rnacentral:rRNA from 1 species